rnacentral:tRNA from 4 species
GGGCACUUGGCGCAGUGGUUAGCGCGUUCGGUUUACAUCCGAAAGGUCGGGGGUCCAAAUCCCUCAGUGCCCACAA